CAGCCGCCGCGGUAAAACGGAGGGAGCUAGCGUUGUUCGGAAUUACUGGGCGUAAAGCGCGCGUAGGCGGUUACUCAAGUCAGAGGUGAAAGCCCGGGGCUCAACCCCGGAACUGCCUUUGAAACUAGGUGACUAGAAUCUUGGAGAGGUCAGUGGAAUUCCGAGUGUAGAGGUGAAAUUCGUAGAUAUUCGGAAGAACACCAGUGGCGAAGGCGACUGACUGGACAAGUAUUGACGCUGAGGUGCGAAAGCGUGGGGAGCAAACAGGAUUAGAUACCCGUGAGUCCCUGUCUCUUAUACA
rnacentral:rRNA from 1 species